rnacentral:rRNA from 1 species
UGGCUCAGGAUGAACGCUGGCGGCGUGCCUAAUACAUGCAAGUGAAACGGGUAUCUUCGGAUACCAGUCGCGGACGGGUGAGUAAUACAUAGGCAACCUGCCUUUAUGAGGGGGAUAACCGAGGGAAACUUUGGCUAAUACCGCAUGAAGACUCUAAGGCAUCUUAGAGGGAAUAAAGUUGGGAAACAACGCAUGAAGAGUGGGCUUAUGGCGCAUUAGCUAGUUGGUGAGAUAGAAGCCCACCAAGGUAAUGAUGCGUAGCCGACCUGAGAGGGUGAACGGCCACAUUGGGACUGAGACACGGACCCAAACUCCUACGGGAGGCAGCAGGUAGGGUAAUUUUCGGCAAUGGGGGGAACCCUGACCGAGCAACGCCGCCGUGAAGGAAGAAGGUUUUCGGAUUGUAAACUUCUGUUAUAAGGGAAGAACGGAUUGGAUAGGGAAUGAUCUGAUAGUGACGGUACCUUAUUAGAAAGCCACGGCUAACUACGUGCCAGCCGCGGC